UCCCUGGUGGCUCAGAAGUUAAAAGCGUCUGACUCCAAUGCAGGAGACCUGGGUUCGAUCCCUGGGUCGGGAA
rnacentral:tRNA from 1 species